GUGGAUUAGAUACCCUGGUAGUCCACGCGGUAAACGAUGGGCACUAGGUGUUCGGGGUAUUGACCCCCUGAGUGCCGCAGCUAACGCAUUAAGUGCCCCGCCUGGGGACUACGGCCGCAAGGUUAAAACUCAAAGGAAUUGACGGGGGCCCGCACAAGCGGUGGAGCAUGUGGUUCAAUUCGACGCAACGCGAAGAACCUUACCUGGGCUAGACAACAUCGGACAGCCCCAGAAAUGGGGUCUUCCCGCAAGGGACCGGUGGUUCAGGUGCUGCACGGCUGUCGUCAACU
rnacentral:rRNA from 1 species